AAUUUUGGACAAUGGGGGAAACCCUGAUCCAGCCAUCCCGCGUGUAUGAUGAAGGCCUUCGGGUUGUAAACUUCUUUUGUCAGGGAAGAUAAUGACGGUACCUGACGAAUAAGCCACGGCUAACUACGUGCCAGCAGCCGCGGUAAUACGAAGGGUGCAAGCGUUAAUCGGAAUUACUGGGCGUAAAGCGCGCGUAGGUGGUUUGUUAAGUUGGAAGUGAAAGCCCCGGGCUCAACCUGGGAAUUGCUUUCAAAACUGACGAGCUAGAGUACGGUAGAGGGUAGUGGAAUUUCCUGUGUAGCGGUGAAAUGCGUAGAUAUAGGAAGGAACAUCAGUGGCGAAGGCGACUACCUGGACUGAUACUGACACUGAGGUGCGAAAGCGUGGGGAGCAAACAGG
rnacentral:rRNA from 1 species